UACAGGGGGGGCAAGCGUUGUUCGGAAUUACUGGGCGUAAAGGGUCUGUAGGUGGCUUGCUAAGUCAGACGUGAAAUCCCUCAGCUUAACUGGGGAACUGCGUCUGAUACUGGCGAGCUUGAGUGCAGGAGAGGAACGCGGAAUUCCAGGUGUAGCGGUGAAAUGCGUAGAUAUCUGGAGGAACACCGGUGGCGAAGACGGCGUUCUGGACUGCAACUGACACUGAGAGACGAAAGCCAGGGGAGCAAACGGG
rnacentral:rRNA from 1 species